rnacentral:lncRNA from 1 species
CACCGAAUCUUCCCAGAAGGAAUAAAGGGCUCCAAGCCAUCAAAUCUGCAGUGAACAAAAUGGAAGUGCCUUCCAAUCUUGGGUACAUCAGUUCAAGGCUCCUGUUGACCAUGAAAGAUUUGUCUUCAAAAUAAAAACACACACUGAUGGAAGAGGAGGAGAGCAACUCAGUGUUGUGCUGGUACGAAGGCAGUAGAUCUAGCCAGCACGAGGAUGCAGAAGGGGCUUUGCUCCAGCAACCAUCCCAUCUCAGGUUCGAGGAGCGCAUACUAGCUAAAGUAAAUGGCAACUGUCCAGAUAGUGGAGACUCUGGUGGACUGUAUCUUGAGUGAGGACCACGUGGAGCAGAGCGGCC